rnacentral:rRNA from 1 species
CAAUAGCGUAUAUCAAAGUUGUUGCAGUUAAAAAGCUCGUAGUUGGAUUUCGGGGCAGCCUGGCUGGUCCGCCGCAAGGCGAGUACUGGUCCGCCGCCCUUCCUCUCGAAAGCCCCGACUGCUCUUUAUUGCAGUGGUCGGGUAGUUCGGGACGUUUACUUUGAAAAAAUUAGAGUGUUCAAGGCAGGCCUACGCCUGAAUACAUUAGCAUGGAAUAAUGGAAGAGGACCUCGGUCCUAUUUUGUCGGUUUCCAGGACCGAAGUAAUGAUUAAGAGGGACAGUUGGGGGCAUUCGUAUUUAAUUGUCAGAGGUGAAAUUCUCGGAUUUAUGAAAGACGAACAACUGCGAAAGCAUUUGCCAAGGAUGUUUUCAUUAA